CUUUUUAUGUACCACAGGUGUACUGUAUAUGUACCUUAGGUGUACUGUAUGUGUACCACAGGUGUUUUGUAUGUGUUCUACAUGUUUUCUGAAUGCAUUCCACAAGUCUUGUAUUCAUAUAAGAAAUUUGUCUAGAUACAGUGUAUUAUUAUGGAAUUUAUAUAACAUAUGAUUUUUUGUAUUUUUAGAUUGAAAAGGGAGAUUAUACCUACAUGCAACAUAUAGAUGUACCACUCACACAUGGAUCAUUGUUAAUUAUGGAAGGGUCUACACAAGAUGACUGGCAGCAUCGAAUUCCAAGAGAAUACCAUGAUAGAUCUGGGAGAAUAAAUCUGACUUUUAGAGUUAUCUUUCCUGAGAUAUAGAUCCGAUAUAGCUAUUUAAUGAUUUUGUUUACCAACCUAUUGACUGUUAAAAUUUUUUGGCCAAAAAAUUAUUUAUAUGCAAAAAAUGAAAAUGUUGUUAUUUUUUUAUGUUGUAACUUGUUACACUGAAGAUGUAUAGAAAGGUAGACAAUCAUAAUAUGGAAGAGAAUUUUCACAUCAAGAGUUGUCUCUCCUGAUAUAUAGUUAUAACAGAGUUUGUGGUAUUUUAUUUCAUACUGCAAUAUGUCGUUGGUUGUUUACAUAUUUCUAACUAUUUAUUUGCUUUGCAUGAUUAAUAUACUUGAUUAAACUGUGAUGAAUUUUUUUAUAUAUUCAGCUUUUCACUUAAUUGUUUUUGAAAUUGUUUUUAGUCAGUGUUUAAUGUCAGUUUUUAUUUUUGUUUACAUACAAUUUUGUUGAAAUAUAAUAGAUAUAAUAAAUAUAAAAUAGAAAUGAGAUAUUUUUUCCAAAGUUGCCUUUAUUGAAUUUGACUUUAGCUUAAAGGUGCUUAUUUCAAAGCAUUUUUUAUCACUUUAUCAAAGUCUCUUUUUUCUUCUUUGCAAUGUGUAUGUAAUAUUAAUUUAGCGUAUAUAGAAUGAUGCAAUGUAUUAACUAUUAUACAAAAGACUUACUUGUAUUACCAGCAAUUACUACCUUACUUUUUGCAUGGACAAUUGUUGUACUUGCAUAUUUUACAUUGAAAAUAUGACUGCUUUGAGAGACUGUAAUAUUAGUAACUGUUUAAAUUAAACUGUAAAACAAUGCAAUAUGUUAUACAUGUAUUUUAAUGUGUUAUGUCUAGAAUGUUGAGAGUAAUGUUUACAUGUAUAUAGUUGAAGUAAAGAGGAGAAUAAAACUAGUUGAUUAUUC